rnacentral:rRNA from 1 species
UACGAAGGGGGCUAGCGUUGCUCGGAAUGACUGGGCGUAAAGGGCGCGUAGGCGGUUAUCACAGUCAGGCGUGAAAGUCCUGGGCUCAACCUGGGGACGGCGCUUGAUACGUGGUGACUAGAGUGGGGAAGAGGGUCGUGGAAUUCCCAGUGUAGAGGUGAAAUUCGUAGAUAUUGGGAAGAACACCGGUGGCGAAGGCGGCGACCUGGUCCUUGACUGACGCUGAGGCGCGAAAGCGUGGGGAGCAAACAGG